ensembl:lncRNA
CCUUCUUCCACUCUUCUUUCCUUUUACUCUUCUUUCCUUUCUUCUUUCCUUCUUUCACUCUUCUUUCUUUUCUUCUUCCUUUCUUAACUUUUGCAUUUCAUGCACUGGUAUUUCCUUCAGGAAAUGCAUUUUCUAGUUUAAAAUGGUAGCUUUCUUAUAUCCGAUUAGAGGAAGUGCACGGUCCUAUGCGGCCCUCUGGUAGCUAUGAAGAAAAAUUGUGGCCCUCUCCAUCAUUAAAGUUGCCCAUCCUUGGUGUAAAGAGUUGGGCCUCUAUAUACAGUCGAUGAUCUACGACACCCACUGGGAUCCCCAGAGAUGAAUGCGAAUUUCUUGCUAUGGUUCAAGAGCUUCUCUAGCCACUCCACGCAAACGAAUAAUGUAUGUUUUGAAGAAAGAAGAAGAAACACUACAAAGGACAAAAUGGAAUGUCAAUCCUACAAAUGACCUCUAGAGGACGCUCUUGCAAUAGUAUUGAGGAGUGGAGUUAUAGAAGUUUCCGAAUUCAGCACUUCUCAUAUCCACUCAGUGUCAGUGUGACUGGACUGGAGGUCAGAGGAGUCCGUGGGCAUUCUUCUCUUCCGUCAAGACAGAUGAAAGGGGGUGCAGCAGAGCAGUUGCACCAUCAGAGGAAGGUGUGAGUGAGGAGUCAGAUGACAAGGAACCUAGAGGAGAAACUGGACACAAAGCCCUGGCCUGUACUGCGUCAGAGGGCCAGCUGAGCUCUUGCGGCCGGGCCGAGUGCCAGGAGCCAGCUGGGAGAAGGAGGAGUGUUAUGGGACGGAGCGGCGAAGAUGACAGCAGGACAGGAGGCGACACACCUGUGGCUCUGUCACGCCACCACACCGACCUCCCUCACCCCCCACCCC